GGGGCGUCUCCUGAGACCUGGCUAUAAGUACGCGUCCGACAUACACUACAUUACCACUUCUGACAGACCAACACUAUAUUGUAAAGAUGAGAAGUUUAUGCCUCAGUCUGCUGUGUGUGUUGGUACUAUGCGCGGUCACAGUUCAUUCAAUCCGGUACAAUAACUACAUGAUGGGCGCUCAGUAUCCCUCAUUCCCAUCGUAUCAGCCCUUCCGAUCGCAUCAAUCCUUCCCAUCGUUCACAAAUGUCCAAACGUUCCCAUCCUAUGGAUCUAGGUUUGCAGGGUACGGGAACGAUGACAUCUUUCCGGAUUAUAACAGACCCGAUUACAACUCCUGGGACACCCCAGAUUCAAAUUACUAUCGUCCGUAUGGCAGGUUCGACUGAACGUAAAUCCUCACUUCCGGUUGUGACGUCAGAAUCUAUGAUGGCUGUCACGGAGGAAGGUCCACAUCGUCUUUGCGCUAACUGACAAGAAUAGCAGAUGUUUAAAGAAUAAAUAUGUAUCAUUAUUUAUUUCAUCAUCCAUUGUACAUCUGUGACAAGUUGUUCCGUCACUUUUUGUUUUGUUGUACAUUGUAUUGUUUUGUUUAACCAAACAUUUGUCUGAUCAAAUAAUAUAUCUACAAAAUUGUCAAAA